rnacentral:tRNA from 1 species
UGGCGUAUCUGGAGGGAUUCGAACCCCCGACCCACGCCUUAGAAGGGCGUUGCUCUAUCCAGCUGAGCUACAGAUAC